rnacentral:rRNA from 1 species
UACAGGGGGGGCAAGCGUUGUUCGGAAUUACUGGGCGUAAAGGGCUCGUAGGUGGCCGACUAAGUCAGACGUGAAAUCCCUCAGCUUAACCGGGGAACUGCGUCCGAUACUGGAUGGCUGGAGGAUGGGAGAGGGAUGCGGAAUUCCAGGUGUAGCGGUGAAAUGCGUAGAUAUCUGGAGGAACACCGGUGGCGAAGGCGGCAUCCUGGACCAUUACUGACGCUGAGUGAGCGAAAGCCAGGGGAGCAAACGGG